rnacentral:rRNA from 1 species
GAUGAACGCUGGCGGCGUGCCUAAUACAUGCAAGUCGAGCGAACGGACGAGAAGCUUGCUUCUCUGAUGUUAGCGGCGGACGGGUGAGUAACACGUGGAUAACCUACCUAUAAGACUGGGAUAACUUCGGGAAACCGUAGCUAAUACCGGAUAAUAUUUUGAACCGCAUGGUUCAAAAGUGAAAGACGGUCUGGCUGUCACUUAUAGAUGGAUCCGCGCUGCAUUAGCUAGUUGGUAAGGUAACGGCUUACCAAGGCAACGAUGCAUAGCCGACCUGAGAGGGUGAUCGGCCACACUGGAACUGAGACACGGUCCAGACUCCUACGGGAGGCAGCAGUAGGGAAUCUUCCGCAAUGGGCGAAAGCCUGACGGAGCAACGCCGCGUGAGUGAUGAAGGUCUUCGGAUCGUAAAACUCUGUUAUUAGGGAAGAACAUAUGUGUAAGUAACUGUGCACAUCUUGACGGUACCUAAUCAGAAAGCCACGGCUAACUACGUG